GUGGCGCAGUGGUAGCGCAGAAGACUCUUAAUCUUUUGGUCGUGGGUUCGAAUCCCACCGGG
rnacentral:tRNA from 1 species